rnacentral:rRNA from 1 species
CGAGUCAUGGGAUGAGACUAAACCCAGAGGCGAAGUGAAAGCGUGGGGCGCGCCGUCGUCUCGGCGGCGGUGCGCCGCUAAGGGAGGACGGUCGGUCCCUGCCCCCGCGAGGGGGCGGGCCGGCCAGCACUCCCGGGGCGCCUCGGCUCCGGCCGCAGGCGCACCCGGAGCGCACACGUUGGGACCCGAAAGAUGGUGAACUAUGCCCGGCCAGGACGAAGUCAGGGGAAACCCUGAUGGAGGUCCGCAGCGAUUCUGACGUGCAAAUCGAUCGUCAGAGCUAGGUAUAGGGGCGAAAGACUAAUCGAACCAUCUAGUAGCUGGUUCCUACCGAAA